CAUAUGUUAUGAUGGUAUGAUCCUAAACCCCUAACGGGAGGGAUUGUGCCUGAUAUUCAUAUG
rnacentral:ncRNA from 1 species